rnacentral:rRNA from 1 species
UUUUGCGACGUGCAAAAAAAAAACGCACGUGCGCGGCAUAUAUUUACCACGUUUUAUUAUUUUGCACGCGAGAGUAGUACUAGGUUGGGUGACCUCCUGGGAAGUCCUCGUGUUGCAUUCC